GGUUUCUUGUAAUUAUUUAGGAGAUCUGACCUGCCCACUGAAAAUAUUUUGAAGGGCCGCAGUAUUUUGACUGUGCAAAGGUAGCAUAAUCAUUAGUCUUUUAAUUGAAGGCUGGUAUGAAUGGUUGGAUGAGGUAAAUUCUGUUUUAUGUUAAUUGAUGUUGAAUUUAGAUUUUAAGUAAAAAUACUUAAAUGUUAUUAAGGGACGAGAAGACCCUAUAGAGUUUAAUAAAUAUAAUAAUUAAUUGAGUUAAAGUUUAAUUUUUGGUUUUUAUGUAAUUUAUUUAAUUGGGGUGAUUGGAAGAUAAAAUAAACUCUUCUUUAUAUUUAAUAAAUUAAUUAGUUAUAUGAUCCAUAUUUAAUGAUUAAAAGAUUAAAUUACCUUAGGGAUAACAGCAUAAUUCUUUUUAAGAGUUCAUAUCGAAAAAAGAGAUUGUGACCUCGAUGUUGGAUUAAGAUUAGUUAUGGGUGCAGAUGUUCAAUAACUAGGUCUGUUCGACCUUGAAAAUCUU
rnacentral:rRNA from 1 species